rnacentral:rRNA from 1 species
UUUCCGCCAGAGAACUACAAGUGAAAAACUUGAAACUCAAAGGACUUGACGGUGUUCCAUAUCGACCUAGAGGAGCCUGUCCUAUAAUCGAUACUCCCCGCUCCACCCAACCCUAACUGGCAUCUCAUCAGCCUAUAUACCGCCGUCGAUCAGCCUACCCUAUGAAGGCUCAACAGUAGACACAAUAGUCUUAUCACUAAUACGUCAGGUCAAGGUGUAGCAAAUGUUAAGGAAGAGAUUGGCUACAUUUUUUAUUUUAAAAAAUACGAAAAAUACUAUGAAACAAUAUAUGAAGGUGAAUUUAGUAGUAAAAUAAACAAGAGUGUUUAUUUUAACAACGCUCUGGAACGCGUACACACCGCCC